UUAUGCGCUAGAGCAUAACUGGGAAGGGGGUGACAAUCCCCCGCAGCCCCCGCUGCUGUGAUGCUGACGAACCCGCUGUUACCACUGAUCCAUCGGAUUGGGAAGGUGCGGGGGAGAAUGAUGCUAAGCCAGAAGACCAGCCAAAUCG
rnacentral:ncRNA from 1 species